GGAAGUAAAAGUCGUAACAAGGUCUCCGUAGGUGAACCUGCGGAGGGAUCAUUACUGAGUUUUCAACUCUCCAAACCAUGUGAACUUACCACUGUUGCCUCGGUGGACUGGUGCCUUCUCUCGGGAAGGUGCUGCCGCCGGCGGACUACUAAACUCUUGUUAAUUUUUGGCAUUCUGAAUCAUAACUAAGAAAUAAGUUAAAACUUUCAACAACGGAUCUCUUGGUUCUGGCAUCGAUGAAGAACGCAGCGAAAUGCGAUAAGUAAUGUGAAUUGCAGAAUUCAGUGAAUCAUCGAAUCUUUGAACGCACAUUGCGCCCAUUAGUAUUCUAGUGGGCAUGCCUGUUCGAGCGUCAUUACAACCCUAAAGCCUAGCUUUGUGUUGGGAGACUGCGCUAAACCGCAGCUCCUCAAAACCAGUGGCGGAGUCCUCUCGUGCUCUGAGCGUAGUAAUUACUUAUCUCGCUUCUUGUAACACGGUGGUCGACGGCCAGUAAACCGCACUCCUUCGGGGGGCACAUUUUUAAUGGUUGACCUCGGAUCAGGUAGGAAUACCCGCUGAACUUAAGCAUAUCAAUAAGCGGAGGA
rnacentral:rRNA from 1 species